AUUUAGCUGUGUAAGGGAUUUAUCAUUGCCACUUGUCACGAUAGGGUUUUGCCACGUUUAUUUUUUUUUUAAAAAAAAUAUUUUUAAUUGUUUGAUUUGACGGUUAUGUGUUCUGAUCAAAAAGUAUUGUAUUUAUGUAUUUUUCUUUUAUUUUUUUUUUAUUAUUUUCGAAUCUAAAUUUUGUAAUUGGUAAUCUCUCUCAUCUCAACUGUUCAUCUUCUUCCCCAUUUUCAGUUUUGUUAUACGGUUGUAGUAGUGGGUGGUUUUUUCAUUUUAAAAAAUUUCAAAUCUCAUACCACUAUCUUAAACUUCCCUCUCAUUUUCCCUCCCAUUUUUAUUAUUUUUGUCUAUAAAUACCUUCAUAGUUCUUGAUAAUGGCCGUUACUCGUUCAUCACCAUCUCCGGCCAAAGUUACAAAACCCACAAAACAAUCGCAGAAAACCAGACCCAAAUCAAAAAUGGGUAAAAAAAAUCUGAAAGAGAACCCUCCUAGCCCCACUUCCCCUUCUGUUAAAAGAAAAACCAUUGCUGGACCUUCGAAGAACACUCGAGGAAAAAGACCUCGAACUGUUGUUGAAAAUUCAGACUCAUAUUUUGAGUUGGAUUCUGAAUUUCUUAAGUCGCCUGUUUCUGUUAAGGUAUUUUACUAUUUAUCUGUUGUUGUUUUUGAGGUUUUUUGUUUUUUUUGUUAAAUUCGAUUUUUCAAGUUCAUAUAUCUGGGUAUUUGUUUGUUUUUGUCUCUGUAUUUGUAAUGGUUUUAUAUAUUUUGUUUGAUUUAUUUAUGUGUUUUUGUUAAUUUUUUAUUUGUUGUUUUGUUGGUGUUGUUUUGUUUAAUUUUAGGGCAAGGGUAAAUCCCCUGUAAAGGUGUUGCCAUCAUCAGGUGUGGCUGAGGAAAUUCCUGUUAAUAGGAUUGUUGAGGUUUGUCAUGUUAUGCAUUCUGUUCCAUGUUUUUUUUAUUGUUUUUUUGUUGUUAUUUUCGUAGUGUUUUAUGGUGUUUUAUCAGUGUUUUUAUUUUCGUAGAAUUUUAACUGAAAGCCAAUUGGAAAUUUUUUCAAAAUCUGUGUUUGGUUAUUUUCUUCGGAUUCCAGAGUACAUAAUUCAUUACCAAUUGCUUCAUUGCUUCAUUUUUCCAAAAUAUUUUAUAAUAAUAAUAAUAAAAUAAGAAAUAAUGGGUAGUUGUGUCUCCCCACAUCAAAAUUUAAAUUUUUUUGUUUUAUUAAAAUGAUUGAUUUGGAUGUGAGAUGUGACAACUCUCACACACACUACUCAAUAAAGCUAACCCUCUCAUCAACUUUAUCUAUUUAUUUAUAUUUUCCACUCUAAACAAAAACCAAAACCAUGUUACAAUUCUUUUUCACCUUUCUCUGCAAUCCCUUUGACUCUCUACAUCCCUCCCCCAAGAAACCUCAACCUCUUUGUUGAAACCAUGGAAGAUGCUCUCAGAGAGUCCAAACCUUACACUGAUAGACUCUUCUCUAGAGCUCGCCGUGUAUGGUCAUGGAUCUUAUCUUGGGUUCUUUGUGGACCAAGAAGAAGAACAAGAUUUUAUGGUUUUUCCCCGGUGUUUUCAUGAUUCUGGUGUUGAUUUGUCCGUCCCCAACCACGAAGGAAGUGCCGUUUGUGCUAUGUUACUGUUAACAGUAUAAAAGUAAAUAUUUUAGGUCUGGACAGUAUAAAAGAAAAAAAAAAAGGCUUGGACAGUAAAAAAGAAAUAAUUGCC